rnacentral:misc_RNA from 1 species
UCCGGUUUGUCACCGGCAGUCUCCUUAGAGUGCCCAACUAAAUGCUGGCAACUAAUGACAAGGGUUGCGCUCGUUGCGGGACUUAACCCAACAUCUCACGACACGAGCUGACGACAGCCAUGCAGCACCUGUGUUACGGCUCCCUUUCGGGUACCCCUCCAUCUCUGAAGGGUUCCGUACAUGUCAAAGGUGGGUAAGGUUUUUCGCGUUGCAUCGAAUUAAACCACAUCAUCCACCGCUUGUGCGGGUCCCCGUCAAUUCCUUUGAGUUUUAACCUUGCGGCCGUACUCCCCAGGCGGGAUGCUUAAUGCGUUAGCUGCGCCACUGAAGAGCAAGCUCCCCAACGGCUAGCAUCCAUCGUUUACAGCGUGGACUAC